GACGUCGAAUAUCGACGUCAUAAACACCAAACUUGUUCGUGUUUAUGACGUCGAAUAUCGACGUCGUCAACACCAAACUUGUUCGUGUUUAUGACGUCGAAUAUCGACGUCAUAAACACCGAACUUGUUCGUGUUUAUGACGUCGAAUAUCGACGUCAUCAACAUCAAAGUUGAUCAUGUUUAUGACGUCGAAUAUCGACGUCAUAAACACCAAAGUUGAUCGUGUUUAUGACGUCGAAUAUCGACGUC
rnacentral:miRNA from 1 species